UAAUUUUUGGAUUCAAAUUUUUUUUACACACCCCUAGUUCUAAUAAUAUGUUUUCCUAUAACUAUAUUAACAGAUAAAAUACAAAAUGUUGGACCUACAAAAGAACAAAUGAUAUUUAAAAGCCAAAACAUGACCUAGCAAUAAAAAGUAGAUGAAGCAUUCUCCUCCCAAAGAUAGUGAAUCUUGAACAAGAUGCAUUUGGGACACGUGGUGUGUUAUGAUGGAGCCUCAAGCUUAUUUUGGGAGGGAAUGCACAUCCUUCACUUAUUCUAAUUUUUUUGCAGGAUCCAUAUUAAUUUGAGUUAUCAAGUACCCAGGAUAUUGGAUCCAUAUAUAUAAGGUUAUAUCUUCAUUAUUGAGAUCACAUUCUCUACUUACUUUUCUCUUUAAACCCUAAUCAACACACAUCUUCAUCUCUUUCUUGAUUCCACGGUUCAUCAAACAAAAUCAAUGGUGUUUAGGAUGCUUUUAUUUGCUGGAUAUCAUGGAAUCAAGUUUAGGUGGUCUAGAAACCCAUGAACAAAUUUAUGAGUUGUCGGAACAAUGAUUUGUCUUUGAGAACAUUAUCUGUAAUAACUAUUGUGCUUUAUAAGUUUAUGGUAUGGGACAUGAAUGUUAAUUAUAUCGUCACUAACAGUGUUAUGGAUUCUCUUGGACAAUCUGUUUCGCUCAGUGCCUCACCCCGAUGUUUUCGCCAUCGGUUGGGGUGUGACACCAAGUUAGUAAUUGUUUGUUUUAUUUUUUAAAUUGUAAUCUCAAUCCUCAAUGUAUACCAUUUGUGCUACUUUUUCACUCUGAUUCUUCAAUCUAAACCAAAGGUACGUGAUCUUUCAUUAUUUUAAUAUUUUAUGAUUAACAUUGUUUUAAAUUGUGUUUUGUUGUUUUUUAUUUAACAUCAGUUCUUAGGAUAUCGGUGCAUAAGCUUCUCUGUCCAUCACCUAAAACAUGAUCAUCGAUACAUGUAUUUUUUUAUUGUAUUUGUGUAUUUGUUUUUUUUUUUCUGUAUUGUGUUAUAUUAAGAUUCAAGAUUAAACAAAAAUUUUAAAAUAUUUGGUUUUAUUAACAAUUGUUGUUUGUAAUU